rnacentral:lncRNA from 1 species
AUACUAAUAUCUCUUCAAGAAAUACUUUUAGUUAUGAAACUAAUCAGAUUCAAAAGAUCAAGUGCAAUUGAAAGGGACAAAAGCUGUUGAAAGCUGUCAGACGCUUGUGAAGUCAGGAUCGAACGUCCGAUACUCAUUGCGCAAGUUCGGACGCAUGAAAAACUCCAUCACCGGACGUUUGAAAGAAUUGAAGAAAAUCUCUUAAGCUCACUGCCUGCUAUCGGACGCAAA